rnacentral:rRNA from 1 species
UUGGAGAAGUAAAAGUCGUAACAAGGUUUCCGUAGGUGAACCUGCGGAAGGAUCAUUAAUGAAUUCACUAUGGAGUUGUUGCUGGCCUCUAGGGGCAUGUGCACGCUUCACUAGUCUUUCAACCACCUGUGAACUUUUGAUAGAUCUGUGAAGUCGUCUUUCAAGUCGUCAGACUUGGUUUGCUGGGAUUUAAACGUCUCGGUGUGACAACACAGUCUAUUUACUUAACACACCCCAAAUGUAUGUCUACGAAUGUCAUUUAAUGGGCCUUGUGCCUAUAAACCAUAAUACAACUUUCAACAACGGAUCUCUUGGCUCUCGCAUCGAUGAAGAACGCAGCGAAAUGCGAUAAGUAAUGUGAAUUGCAGAAUUCAGUGAAUCAUCGAAUCUUUGAACGCACCUUGCGCCCCUUGGUAUUCCGAGGGGCAUGCCUGUUUGAGUGUCAUUAAAUUCUCAAACUCACUUUGGUUUUUUUCCAAUUGUGAUGUUUGGAUUGUUGGGGGCUGCUGGCCUUGACAGGUCGGCUCCUCUUAAAUGCAUUAGCAGGACUUCUCAUUGCCUCUGCGCAUGAUGUGAUAAUUAUCACUCAUCAAUAGCACGCAUGAAUAGAGUCCAGCUCUCCAAUCGUCCGCAAGGACA